rnacentral:lncRNA from 1 species
CUGGGAAAACAUCACCCUGGAAUGGGGAAAAAAAUAGAUUUAUUCUUUAGAGUACUGAUUAUCUUAUAGCAUAAACUAUCACAGAGAGAAAUGAGGUUCAAGAAGUGUUUGGACGAUGCUUUCAGUCACAUUCUUUAGGUUCUUCUGUGCAGGGCCAAGAGCUGGACUUGAUGCUCCUUGUAGGUCCCUUCCACAUCAGCUUAUCCUAUGAAUCUGUGAUUCUGUCAAGGCCAUGUGAUAGAGACUGGAUUUCUAGAAGGUGUGUAAGAAACAAGCAGAGCUGCUUUAGGAUAGCAUGGACACCACCUUUGGCAGGAAAUAGGAAAUUAAAUUAGAGGUGGAAGUUUAAAUUGUAAGUGCAUUUG